AUAAAUUAAUCCAUUAAUUUGAAAUUAGUUGGUCGAGAUUUAAGUGUAGAGAUUGCAAUGAUAAUGAUAUGCUUCUCCCAUAUGAAGGAAAAGAUGAGGAUUUUUGAUUUAGUGAUACAAAAUAACAAUCCUAUAGCAAUUAAUAAAGGCCAAUUUAUCGUCCUGUCAGCUCAGCACUAAGAUAAUAAUGUAGGACUUUGUUUCCUGACAAAUAGUCAAAAGAGGUUUCCUUUUCCACUAUAGAUUCUUUUUGUAAUCAAUACAUGCUCUUAUUUUUUAACCCGACUGGCAUUACAGUAAACAGUUACUUCUUUCAAUUGGUUUUUAUAUGCAGGUUUUUACAGAACCUCACUUGAAAACAAAGGUUUGGGGUUUUUUUUUGUUUUGGGGUUUUUUUCUUCAAUAGAGAGGAGAACGUGUUCCAUUAAGAAUCACUUUGAUUCUUGUUGAAAUCUUAAUGUUAUUUCAAAGACUUACCACGUUUCAUCAGGAAAAAGAAAAAACAAAGCAAUACAUUUGGACAAGUGGGGGGAUCAGGUAAUGGUAUAAUACUAUGCCUAUUUUAAAACAGAGGUUUGAAAACGGUCCGGGUUCAAAGUUUCCCUUUUCUAAUAGCAUUGGCUAUUUGUAAAGAUGAUCACUUUUUUUUUUGUUUUUGUUCUUGUUGCACAGCCUGUGUAUCAGAAAAGCUUCUUUCAGAAAUGGUAUCAUGGAAGGAAAAGCCAGAAAGUGUAUUGCUUUAGGCACCUGUGAUACCUAAUGAAGAGCCUGCUCAGCCUAACUUCCUGGAGCCAACAGAGAGAAAUAAUUCCAGAGACCAAAGCAUUCCACCUACAAUCUGAGUGUAUAUAUGCAGGCCUGUGCAUCUUACGUUCUUGCAGCACAGAACCAUAGUUCCUCGGGUGGUCUAUAGGCCGCAUGCCAGACCAGACUGGAUUACAAAGCAGCAAAGCCAAGUGGCUGCACACCAAAGGAAGUUUUUCUGGAGAGUCAAGAUGAUCCUAUGGGCAUUCCACGAGUUUAGUAUUAUCUCUUUUGGGAAGCGAUGCUUUAAUAAAAUGUGCUGUUCUUCCACAAGCAAUCAACAGCAUAUAGAAACAUUUUGCUAUGACACGUAA
ensembl:lncRNA